rnacentral:rRNA from 1 species
GGCGGCGUGCUUAACACAUGCAAGUCGAACGAUGAACCACUUCGGUGGGGAUUAGUGGCGAACGGGUGAGUAACACGUGGGCAAUCUGCCCUGCACUCUGGGACAAGCCCUGGAAACGGGGUCUAAUACCGGAUACUGAGCCGCUUGGGCAUCCAAGUGGUUCGAAAAGCUCCGGCGGUGCAGGAUGAGCCCGCGGCCUAUCAGCUUGUUGGUGAGGUAAUGGCUCACCAAGGCGACGACGGGUAGCCGGCCUGAGAGGGCGACCGGCCACACUGGGACUGAGACACGGCCCAGACUCCUACGGGAGGCAGCAGUGGGGAAUAUUGCACAAUGGGCGAAAGCCUGAUGCAGCGACGCCGCGUGAGGGAUGACGGCCUUCGGGUUGUAAACCUCUUUCAGCAGGGAAGAAGCGAAAGUGACGGUACCUGCAGAAGAAGCGCCGGCUAACUACGUGCCAGCAGCCGCGGUAAUACGUAGGGCGCAAGCGUUGUCCGGAAUUAUUGGGCGUAAAGAGCUCGUAGGCGGCUUGUCACGUCGGUUGUGAAAGCCCGGGGCUUAACCCCGGGUCUGCAGUCGAUACGGGCAGGCUAGAGUUCGGUAGGGGAGAUCGGAAUUCCUGGUGUAGCGGUGAAAUGCGCAGAUAUCAGGAGGAACACCGGUGGCGAAGGCGGAUCUCUGGGCCGAUACUGACGCUGAGGAGCGAAAGCGUGGGGAGCGAACAGGAUUAGAUACCCUGGUAGUCCACGCCGUAAACGGUGGGCACUAGGUGUGGGCAACAUUCCACGUUGUCCGUGCCGCAGCUAACGCAUUAAGUGCCCCGCCUGGGGAGUACGGCCGC